GGCUCUUGCAAGUGCACGUUGGUGGCUUUCAUCCAAUACCCCCUGUGAACCUUUGGCCUCUUGCUAGCUUCGGCUGGUAGAGGAUUUUUACACACUCGAAUGUAAUGAAAACUAUUGUCGUGCGCAAGCACUAAUGUACAACUUUCAACAACGGAUCUCUUGGCUCUCGCAUCGAUGAAGAACGCAGCGAAAUGCGAUAAGUAAUGUGAAUUGCAGAAUUCAGUGAAUCAUCGAAUCUUUGAACGCACCUUGCACCCUUUGGUAUUCCGAAGGGUAUGCUCGUUUGAGUGUCAUUGUACUCUCACACUCUCUGAUCUUUUUGGAUUCAGGGAGCGGUGGACUUGGGUGUUUGCUGCUUUCGUUGUAGCUCACCUUAAAUGCAUCAGUGCAUCUCUUGGUUGGACAUAGUACGGCGUGAUAAGUAUCUUCGCCGGCACCUCGCAAGAGGGUGGCCGAUUGGGAGCUCUGUGCUUUCAAACCGUCUUCGGACAAAUUUUGACAACUUGACCUCAAAUCGAGUAGGACUACCCGCUGAACUUAAGCAUAUCAAUAAGCGGAGGAAAAGAAACUAACA
rnacentral:rRNA from 1 species